rnacentral:rRNA from 1 species
CGGAUAUUCCAUUUUACAUGGAUAACUGUGGUAAUUCUAGAGCUAAUACAUGAAGAAGUGUUCCAACCUCGCUUCGGCGACGGAAGGAUCGCAUUUAUUUCUACAAGACCAAUGGUCCACUCAACCGACCAAGACACCGGCAAGGGCAACCGAGCCAGGACUUGGACGGGGAUCAUAACAGUGCUCCGCACUGUUAACGCUCAAGAUGACUCUAAAUAAACUGAGCAAAUCGUAUGGCCUCUGAGCCGACGAUGUAUCCCUCAAGCAACUGCCUUAUCAACUGUCGAUGGUAGAUUAUGCGCCUACCAUGGUUGUAACGGGUAACGGGGAAUCAGGGUUCGAUUCCGGAGAGGGAGCCCGAGAAACGGCUACCACAUCCAAGGAAGGCAGCAGGCGCGCAAAUUACACAAUCCCAGUACGGGGAUGUAGUGACGAAAAAUAACAAUACGGGACUCUAUUGAGGCCCCGUAAUUGGAAUGAGUACAAUUUAAAUCCUUUAACAAGGAUCUAUUGGAGGGCAAGUCUGGUGCCAGCAGCCGCGGUAAUUCCAGCUCCAAUAGCGUAUAUUAAAGUUGCUGCGGUUAAAAAGCUCGUAGUUGGAUUUCAGUCUAACCUAUGGGGUCCACUGAUUAAAGGGAGGACUGUGCUGUUGAGCUUCUCCCACUCAGUACUUGUACUGACGUGAGGUUGCCUCUUCACUCAUCCUCCUGGUGGCUACUCUUAUAGUGUUUCGACAGAAACUGUCUGAUAUUUGCUAUCGAUGCUCUUCAUUGAGUGUCGAUCCAAGCGAUCAGAACAUUUACCUUGAAAAAAUCAGCGUGCUCAAAGCAGGCGUCCCAAACCUCGUAAGAGGUGCCUUAAAACGGGCUCUGGCCCCAACCAUCUUCACUGAUGUGUUGACCAGUCCCUAACCUUGAAUGAUCUUGCAUGGAAUAAUGGAAUAGGACCUUGGUUCUAUUUUGUUGGUCUUAAGAACACAAGGUAAUGAUUAAGAGGGACAGACGGGGGCAUUUGUAUUGCGGCGCUAGAGGUGAAAUUCUUGGACCGUCGCAAGACAAACUACAGCGAAAGCAUUUGCCAAGAAUGUUUUCAUUAAUCAAGAACGAAAGUUAGAGGUUCGAAGGCGAUCAGAUACCGCCCUAGUUCUAACCAUAAACGAUGCCAACCAGCGAUCAUUCUGAGUAACAUUUACAUGACUCGAAUGGAAGCUUCCGGGAAACCAAAGUUUUUGGGUUCCGGGGGAAGUAUGGUUGCAAAGCUGAAACUUAAAGGAAUUGACGGAAGGGCACCACCAGGAGUGGAGCUUGCGGCUUAAUUUGACUCAACACGGGAAAACUCACCCGGCCCGGACACUGAGAGGAUUGACAGAUUGAGAGCUCUUUCUUGAUUCAGUGGGUGGUGGUGCAUGGCCGUUCUUAGUUGGUGGAGUGAUUUGUCUGGUUAAUUCCGAUAACGAACGAGACUCUAUCCUACUAAAUAGACUUGCAGUUUACACUGCAGUAUUCCCCCAGGUUCAACCUGUCGGUGGCUGUACUCUUGCCUUACCCUCGGGUGAGGUGAGCUCAGGCAGUCAUAAGCCGGCAGACUUGGCCCUGGUAAGGAUGCUGUGGCACUGUAAGGACUUCUUAGAGGGACAAGCGGCGUCCGCAGCCGCACGAAACAGAGCAAUAACAGGUCUGUGAUGCCCUUAGAUGUCCGGGGCCGCACGCGUGCUACACUGAAGUGGUCACCGUGCAUUACGUUUCCUGCUCCGAAAGGAGUGGGUAACCCCCUCAACCCAUUUCGUGAUGGGGAUUGGGCAUUGUAAUUAUUGCCCAUGAACGAGGAAUUCCCAGUAAGCGUGAGUCAUUAGCUUGCGUUGAUUACG